ensembl:lincRNA Gm17249 predicted gene, 17249
GUCUCCAACCUCUUCCGCUGCCUGCGCUCACGGCACUUACCUCCACAGUCGGGAUCGGCGCAGUCAGCUGCUCCGGAGUCAGGCUCCCGAACUCCUCGGCUAGAACAUCCAUUCCAUUCACGGUAGAGGAAGAAGUCGGCAGAAUGUUCACAUCCGCCCGUGCGGCUCCAAGCAAGUAGCACGCGGAGAGUGGUGUGCGUUCUCCUCCGGUGUCCCCGUGGCGCUUGUUUACGGGGAGGCGUUUCAAAAGGUUCCGCCUGGUCAGGGCCUAACCUGCGGAGGAACCCGGAAGUGACCGAGCCGGAUGUGGAAAACUACACCCACUGGUGUACUUCCGAGGUCUCGCCGGGCUAAUCCUAGCCUCUUAACAGACAGGCUCAUUUCCACAUGGGAAGAAGAGGUAAAAGAUGCCAACAGUUUUUAAAUGAGUUUCAGUUUGGGAACAUACAAAAAUUGUGGAGAUGGAUGGUGUCACAUGAGUGUGUACAAUGCUCCUGGCCAUUUAAUAGUUGAACUAUUUAAUAGUUCACCUGUAUAAUUAGCACCAUCUAAUAAUAUGUGUUCUUUUUUUUUUUUUAAACCUGGUCCAAGGUAAUCUGCGUACAGAGUUAGCUAGUUAAAUUUCAGUGCUUGUAUCUAAACGUUGUGCUGAUAGACUUCUGAAACUAAGUGAAGAAAGAAAGAAAAAAAUUACAGGCCACCAAGAUGGCUCAGUAUGUUAAGUCACCUGCCACAAAGCUUGAAAAGCCGCGUUCAGCCCCCAAGACCCACAUUGUAGAAGGAGAGAAGCAACUCUAAAGAGCUGUCCUCUGAUCCCCAUACUCACAUGUAAGACAAAUCAUUUAAAACUAAGAAUGAUCAGGCCCCCCCCCUUAAAUCCUUAAGAUUUACUCAGAGAAACUACAUUUGAAUGGUCCCUGUGAGUUAUUAUACCAGAGAGCACCCUACUUAGUGUAGUCUGGAAGGGGUUGGGAAAGGGAGCUGAAGACUUGAGGACAUCAAGUUUGGCUCAGGUGUGUCAGCUGUCUUCUACAAAGUCAUCUUGGAUUCCCACUAUGAAGAUGGUUCUACUGUAAACCAGAUCACAGACACCUGGAGAACUAAAAAAUCUCAGCUUUCUGAUUGGCAGGCUGGAGCUGGAAAUCUGCAUUUCUAGCAAGAUCUCUGCUGCUGUGACCUAAUACCAUAACCUCUGUACUUGUCUAGUUCUUCAGUCUGUGAAUGCUGGAAUGAAAAUGGCCUUGCAUUCCAGGUUCUAGUGCAUUGUUUGUUCCUUAAUAAGUUUGUGUUGAAUUCAUAAUUUGAAAAUAGAAUUGCAGUAGGUAAUAAUAAGUUUAACAUUGUAUUUCUGUUUUUCACCGAGUUUUUAAAGUUUCUUUUGAAAUGAAGGACACUUUGGAGGAUGCAGUCCCUAAUCUUCAUGGCUACACUUAGUUGACAGUGAUGAUGUUGGCUAUUAGACCACAAUUCCUUGUAAGAUUUCUUGCAUUACACCUGUAUCCCAGAUCAAACCCAUGACUUCUUUUUUAUCUCUAGGAGGCUAGACUUUGGAAGCAAGGUGGGGAAAAAGCCAGGGGUAGUUUUGUGCUUCCUCAGUAUUAUGCUACCAUAUCCUUUUACUGAGGUAUUAAUACAAAAGCCUAAAGCAUAAGGUGUGGGAGCUCCCGGAGGACAAGUGCUGUGCAUCCUGAGCCAUCCUUUAUACAAGGCGAAUGGGUAUGUGUUAGCCAAGUGAAAAGUUAUCCAAUGCCAUGGGGGCAAGAAUGGCUGACUGAGGGACACUGUAAUCUGUAAUGGGAGAGGUGUUUAGGACUCUGGGAAACUGGGAAAAGUGUACAUUAAUUUGAACAUUACUCCUUAACAGGUAUUUGAUUGCUAUCUUUAGGUGGAUUCUCUAAUUAUCCACCCUUGGUGGUAAGUAGAGAUCUUCAUUUGACAAGCUAAGGCAGUGGUUAAGAAAUUUGGCUCACACCUUUAAUCUCAGCACUUAGGAGGCAGAAAGGCAGGUGAGUUUCUAAGUUCAAGGCUAGCCUGACCUACAGAGUAAGUUUGAAGACAGCCAGGGCUACACAAAAAAACCCUGUCUC